rnacentral:lncRNA from 1 species
CUCACCUACCACCAAAACACUUUCACACCUCUUUCUCCACUUAAUCUCUUCUUAUUCUUCUAUCUACAAAUCUCUCUCCAUUCCUUAUCAUCUUCUCUUCUUUUAACUUCCAUUCCACCGUUCUAUAAAAAUAUUGUUCAUCUUCUCUUUGUAAAGCUACUAUUGGAAGUAUGUAAUCAUAUAUAAGCCUCUUUAUCUUUCAACGAUAAAUAUUUUCAUUUUA